AUAAGCUAAUCAAUUUUUUUUUGUAAAAACGGGGCCUAAGAUUUGAUGUUUAUAUAAGAGGCCUGAGGCCAUUGCCUUUUUUUCAGAUGGGUAAGCACGGCUCUGCCUCUCCUGCCUCUUCUUUUUCUUCCCCCUCUCUCUCCAGAAAUUUCUUUUUUCUGAAGAACUUUUUUGGAAUAUAAAUUUCUAAUUUCUUCAACCCCUAAGAGUAUCAUCAACGGUUCAAUCUCUCCGACACGGAUUCAUAAAUUCAAGAAUUUCUUGACUCAGUUUCUUAGCACCAACUUGACCUAACACGACGCCGUAAGGUCUAGGGCUUACCGGCGGGAGGAGUGUUCGUCGGAGCCAAGGCCGAGUCGGAGUUUCUGGUAAGGGUGGCGUAGAAAUCGCCGCCGUACAUUCCGGCCAUGUUUUCAAAAGGUUCCCUGACCUGUUGCUGCUUCUUCUUCUUCUUCUAAUUACUUCCUCCGCAAGAAACCUCGUGUCGUGAAUGGUCGUCCCUUGGAUCCUCGACGGAGUUGAGAUGGAGUUUCUAAACAUUCGGACUUCUCCAGAAUGUGAGUGAUUAGGAAGACUCUCUCUUCUUGUUCUUGGUGUAUACAGUUCUUGAGACUUGCUGAUUCCUCUGUUUAACCUUUUGAAGCUCUCUGGUUUCUCCGGAGCCGAACAAGAGGUUCGGUACGGAGAUAUAAAACCGGAAAGACGCCUGGUUGACCAGUUUGGUAAACCGGUUUGUUCACAAGAAUGAUACAAACCCCGGUUUGAUCCUGAAACCAAAGGAACCGGGUUUGAAAUCUUGAAUGAGUUUUUGGCACAAAGCCUUGGCAAGAACCCACAAGCCUUCUUGAUAGUAACUUCAGGGUAGAUUCGGUGAUCAACAUCAUACUCAUCAUCAUCAUCAUCAAUGUUUAAAUCAUCAUAAAGACUCUGAACAAUAGCGAAAUGCUCAUGUUCUGCGACUACUUGACUUCUUUGGCGAAUUGCAAGUGCUUCUCUGUUUUGUAGGUUUUGCUUUUGCUCUGAAGAGCGUUUUUGAUGUGUGAAAGCCAUUGCUUUAGCAGCUGGUAAGAAUCUUGCCAUCAUUUGAUCGAGACUUUCUCUAGACGACGCAUCGUCAGCUUUCUCAACGUUCUUUUCGAUCUCACUCACUCCACUUGUGCUGCAGUUAACGGAGAAGGUUCCAUCAGAAGAACCUGGGUUUGUUCCCACAUAAAAGGAACUGAAGCUGGUUCGGAGAGAUGAUCGAAGCUCUGGUCUGGUAAUACAGAAACCGGCGUUUCUUGUUCUAUUCUUAGGCAUGAUCGACGCUCUGGUCUGGGUCGCCGAAUGCUUGGGGCCUAGCGCCGAGAUUGAAGGCUUGAGUUUAGGGAAAUAGGAGAUGAAUGUAGAUAAUUAAUUGUCAAUAAAGAGACUUUUCUCUUUGAUUUUUCUUUUCUAAAAUCACUUUCUCAAUAUUUCUAGCUGAGGGAAUUUAAUGUAAGAUCUUUAAUAUUUUCAUUUCAUAUAGUUGAGCUUGAUAACAAA